rnacentral:rRNA from 1 species
AGACGGAGGGUGCAAGCGUUAAUCGGAAUUACUGGGCGUAAAGCGUACGUAGGCGGUUCGUUAAGUUAGAUGUGAAAGCCCCGGGCUUAACCUGGGAACUGCAUUUAAAACUGGCGGACUAGAGUUGAGUAGAGGGGAGUGGAAUUUCAGGUGUAGCGGUGAAAUGCGUAGAGAUCUGAAGGAACACCAGUGGCGAAGGCGACUCCCUGGACUCGAACUGACGCUGAGGUACGAAAGCGUGGGUAGCAAACGGGAUUAGAAACCCUAGUAGUCC